AAGACUCUCGGCAACGGAUAUCUUGGCUCUCGCAUCGAUGAAGAACGUAGCGAAAUGCGAUACUUGGUGUGAAUUGCAGAAUCCCGUGAACCAUCGAGUCUUUGAACGCAAGUUGCGCCCGAAGCCUUUUGGCCGAGGGCACGUUUGCCUGGGCGUC
rnacentral:rRNA from 1 species